AAACGGGUGCGGAACACGUACGCAACCUUCCCAAAACUGGUGAAUAGCCUUCCGAAAGGAAGAUUAAUACACCGUAACAUAAUGAAAUGGCAUCAUUUUAUUAUUAUAGCUCCGGCGGUUUUGGAUGGGCGUGCGCCUGAUUAGGUAGUUGGCGGGGUAACGGCCCACCAAGCCUGCGAUCAGUAACUGGUGUGAGAGCACGACCAGUCACACGGGCACUGAGACACGGGCCCG
rnacentral:rRNA from 1 species